GGGGCUACGUUAGGAUGCGCUACGGCCAGCGUUUAUCACCCUUGACUUUGAGCACCUUCGUUUCCUCGGCGGGUCCGCCCGCCAGCGAGGACCCCCUAAACGCUUUGUAGUAAGCAGUAUUUGUCUGAAAAACAUACCAAUAAUCAAAACUUUCAACAAUGGAUCUCUUGGUUCUGGCAUCGAUGAAGAACGCAGCGAAAUGCGAUAAGUAGUGUGAAUUGCAGAAUUCAGUGAAUCAUCGAAUCUUUGAACGCACAUUGCGCCCCAUGGUAUUCCGUGGGGCAUGCCUGUUCGAGCGUCAUUAGGAACCUCAAGCUCAGCUUGGUGUUGGGUGCUUGUCCCGCCUCUGCGCGGCGACUCACCUCAAAAACAGUGGCAGCCCGCAUCCGCCGGCCGUGAGCGCAGCACAGUCGCGCCCUAGGUCCUGGCGGGUCGGCUCUCCAGAAGCUCUUUUGUACAUGAUUGACCUCGGAUCAGGUAGGGAUACCCGCUGAACUUAAGCAUAUCAAAAGUCGGAGGAAGC
rnacentral:rRNA from 1 species